CCCUAGCCCUGAUAGAAGCAAAAAUCCUUAUAUGCCGGGCUUCGACAUAUAAGAUUGUAGCGAAUAGCAGGAAACAGC
rnacentral:sRNA from 1 species